CAACAGUGACAGAGAGGCACAAUGAGCUCCAAGACUCUUCUUUUAUGGGCAGCCAUGCUCGUUUUUCACGUUUGUACUGGUCAGAUUGUUCUUGACCAGCCUUCAUCACAGUCGACAACUCCAGGACAGAGCGUCUCUCUGAAAUGUAAGGCCCGUACCUCUGUAGGGAGCUGUCUGAACUGGUACCAUCAGAGAUCUGGCCAGAUACCCCGGCUCCUGAUUUAUUACGCCACCAGCCGUCAAUCUGGUAUUCCAGCAGGAAAACUGAAGAAAUAAGCCCAUAAGAAGUCACCGACUCGAGUUCCCUUCCGUGUUUACAAGCACACCCCCGUCCCAGUCUGAUGACAUCACUUCCGGUUCCAUGCUCCUACAUCACCAAGACGUCCCUUGGAUUUUUUUCCAUCAACCUUUGUACUUCCUGUCUGUCCAUUAUAUAAGUCUGCCUGUUAUACCAACAUGUCAUCUGGGCUGUAUUCGUUAUGCAUACAAAAGUCUUGAUAAGACAAGUGGACCUCACACUAUACGGGGCAGGAAAAACCCCAAACUUU